GCUAAAUCAAACUGAUGGAGAAACUGGACAUCAUCUUUACCCUGAAUGCCCAGAUUAAUUCUACCAGAACAGAGAGCGUGCAAGUCUCCAUUGUGUUACAAAUGAACUGCACCUAAGGGAUAGUUCUCUGCUGGCCACAGGAUUACCUCCGGAACAGAGCAGUGAUCUCAACCCAAAGACAUUAGGGUGCAAAUUAGCAUCUGACAAUCAAGCAAUUGGCAAUAAACAGUUUCACGACUGGGAGAUUGAGGCUGGAAGUGGUCUCUGAUAGUCAUCUUGUCUAAGCUACCUGUUCAAGAAGGGUCACCUAGAGCAGAUUGCCCAGGAUUAAGUCCAGAUGGCUUUUAAUCUUCUUUGCCCCGGAGAUAGAUACACAUAACUUGGCACUGAUCUGCUAGCAAGAAAACUUUAAC